AGUCAACGUGGAACCAGAUAGGCCGCAACAUGACUGCUCUGGAGUCCGCAAAGUGGUUCAUAGUGAUCAAUUUAUUGGCGAUAACUGCUGCUGGAAGUGAACUAGACGUUGACUGUGGAUUUGGGUAUGAGCUUUUAAUGGCCACAAUCGACCGAAUGCAAGAAGAUAUUAAAGUCCUGCAGGAAACAGUAACGGUUCUACAAGAAAAAACUGCAAACAACGAAGCCAAUUUAAGCUGUCUUCCAGCUCAGUUUUGCAGACAUUUCGAAUCUGUCCAGUUCAACAGCACAUUACCCUUCAGACGUCCUUGGCAUUCAACUCGUUCUAAUCGUACAAAUUCAACUAGACAAACGUGGCAUCAAAGUACCUUAAGGAACAUUACCAAUUUACAAACGGGAGCGCUUUGGGAGCCAGAGAUGAAUUCAACGGCGUCGAAUAUUCAAGAAUACCGUCCUUGGGUUAAUCAUAACCCCUUCAAUAGAACUGUUCGGCCGUAUUCAACGUCUAAUUACACGGAAUACCAUUCUUGGACCCAUUAUGAACCAUUGAAUAGUACAAUUCGACAGUACUCAAGGAGGAGGUUGGAGCCCUGAUAGAAAAAAAGCAAUUAAACAUAAAUUUCAAUUUCAACGCCAACAAAACCCAUUUGUGACUUGGAAGAUCUGAAA